UGAGGCCCCAGGUCAGGUGGCAUUACCCGCUGAAUU
rnacentral:rRNA from 1 species